CUGCAGUCUGCACAUGCUGUGUUGAGGGGAUCGGAGGAAUUGGUAGCACGCCAUAAAAUUGUGCUUACCUUCUCUAAAAUCAUGCUUGUUUCAUUCAUUGCUUCACAUCACCAAGUUAUUGGUGCGAUUGAGUCCAAGCUUGUUUGCACUACUGGAUGCCGCUCCAUUUAACUCCAUGUGCUGUUUGAUUUUAUAGGGGUAGAGAGUUUGUGUGAAAGUGCAGGGGCGCUGGUGGUACAGGUUAAAUUGAACCCAUGGAAGAUUUCAACUCAUAAUCUUUGCUGUGAAUCGUACACAAAAGUUCCUGAUUUUUUUAACCUGUCUUGGAAGUAAAUUGCCAUUUCUUUUUUAGAUUGACUCAUGGUAAUACUAGCAUGUACACACAUGAAUGCACGUCUGAACAUUUUGAUGUGAUUUUGUAGAUAAGAAAUUACAAAGAUAUAAAC